rnacentral:rRNA from 1 species
CAUUAUUGAAUAAACUUGAACAAGCUGUUUUUUUUGCUGGCUUCUUUGGAGGCAUGUGCACGCUUGUCAUCUUUAUCUUUCCAUCUUGUGCACUUAUUGUAGAUCUUGGAGGUUUGAAUUAUUUUCUAUAGAUUGAGGACUGCUGUGCUUUAUAAAAAGGUCAGCUUUGCCUUAUAUUUCCAGAUCUAUGUUUAUUACAAACCUAAGCUUAAUAUGUUAAGAAUGUUAAAAAAGAGUUGAUAAUAAUUUAUACAACUUUCAGCAACGGAUCUCUUGGCUCUCGCAUCGAUGAAGAACGCAGCGAAAUGCGAUAAGUAAUGUGAAUUGCAGAAUUCAGUGAAUCAUCGAAUCUUUGAACGCAUCUUGCGCUUCUUGGUAUUCUGAGAAGCAUGCCUGUUUGAGUGUCAUUAAAUUCUCAACCAUAUUGAAUUCUUUCGAUGUGGCUUGGUUAUUGGAAGCCUGCAGGUCUUUUUUAAUACAGGUCUGCUCUUCUAAAAUGCAUUAGUAGUAUAUAAUGAGCAGAAGCUACUUACAGAUGUGAUAAUUAUUUACAUCUCUAUAGUGGAUCAUGCUGCUACUCACAAAAGUUGAACAUGUAUUAUAUAUUUGACCUCAAAUCAGGUAGGAUUACCCGCUGAACUUAAGCAUAUCAAUAAGCGGAGGAAAAGAAACUAACAAGGAUUCCCUUAGUAACUGCGAGUGAAGUGGGAAAAGCUCAAAUUUGAAAUCUGGCAGUUCUUGACUGUCCGAGUUGUAAUCUAGAGAAG